GAAAGCUUCCAUGUGGAGAUCAACGACAAGGAACAUAGCGUAAAAGAGGUCUCACCAAAGUAUCUGGGUACAGAAAAGGGAUGCACACUUAUGGGUUUGCAAAGCAGUAAAAUUAAAGUGUCUGAUGGGAUCUAACAGAGUGAAAACUUUGGAUGAAUAUUGUUGAUAAUCAACGUGUGAGAGUCUAC